UCCAGAUCUCCACGUUCCUGUCGGCAGCACUGGGGUCGUCCGCCAUCUUCUCGCCUCCUCCUCCCUAGAGCGGCCCGGCGGGGCCCGGAGACACCAAGACCACAGAGUUAGCGCCGCCGCUGGGGCAGAGCGGCCCCCUUCCUUGCCACCCCCAAGAGGCCCUCUUCUUCCCGCCCUGCGCGGUCCGCCGCGGCGGUCGCUGGCCUUUCCCUCCCUCGGCUUACCUAAGGGCCCAGUCCUGGGCGGCAGCGGCUGCUCCUCCCCGGCGGCGGCUCCGCGGCGGCGGCUCUGACGUAGGACACCGGCUCCCUCUCUCCAGGCAGCUGCAUGUGUUGCAAUCCGCUCACAUGGGGCCUGUGACAUCACUUCCUCCGCCAGAGGCUGAGUGGAAGUCAGCGGGCGGAAGGGAGGGGGCCGGUGCGGAAGAGAGGAAGCUCUGAGCGCGCCGCGACUUGCCAUUGGCUCUCUGCGCCGCGGCCUACAAUAAGCUCUCUGAUUGGCCUCAGUGGGGCCGCGCUGCCUUGUGAGGGCGAGGCGCCGGCGUCGUCGUCUUUUCGGUCUGUUUUUGGUGAAUGGAAUGGGCAUCUGGAAGUCUACGACGCACGGCGAGGCGCUCGGGCCGGGACGCACGGUUUGAGUUGCGCCUACGAAGUCUCGAAGAAACGCCUCAAGCUUCGUGGGUUGAUAGCUGACGACGUGCUCCGGCCGACGUGCGUCAGUCAGUGUUCGCGGACUUGUGCCAGGCUCCCAGCAUGGGUGUCUGGGUCAGGAAACUUUCCCCGGGUGGUCUGGGACCCCGCCACCCGCAGGGGCAAAGGAGGCGCGUUUCGUCUCUCCUCAGGGCUAGGAUUGUUCAGUUUGGACCUGGAACCUUGUGGGGGCGGGAGGGGAGAGUGGGGGCUGCGGGAGGUUGGAAACCUUGAGGUACCUGAAUAGGUCACCAAGGGUUUAGGUUUAGUCUGAGCUUUUGAGAGUGAAGGUGGGACGGUGUUGAAGCAAUAUGGGCAGCUGUAUAAAUUAGAACUUUAUCUUUUUGAGUUAGGGUUUUUAGUUGACUGUGUGUGAAUUUGUUCAAAUAUUUGGGCCCAAACUGUAUGGCAGACCCGGUUUCUCUGAGGAUGCUGAGGUGAACUGUCUAUAACGGUGCUUACCUCCGUGGAACUUUCAGUUUCGUUGCGACGGCACUUGUGAUUGUAUACUUUUGUAUAAUAAAUUAGCUGCAUAAAAGCGUAGUUACUGUAGUAAAAGAGGGCCUAAUUUUGGAAUGAGACCCAAAGAAUGAGUAGGGGUUUAUCAGGAAGGAGCAUAACACGUUUUUAAAAAAAAAAAAAAAAAGUGUGCAUAAAAAGCCAGUGUGUUGAACAAGAGCAGGAAUGGGUAAAGUGGCUUGAGGAGCAGAGGACAGUCAUUUAGGGCCUUGAAAGCCAGGUUUAGGAGUUUGGCCUCUUACUCUUGACCUUGGACAGCUUAAAGGAUUUAAGAAGUAGGGAGAUGACAUGAAGAUAUGGUUAUGUUUUUAAGGAGAUGGUUCCGUUUGGAUUGGAAAGAGCAAAAGUGGAAGCCUAGGGAUCAUUUUGGCGGCUGCAGUCAUUCAUGUGAGAUAAUUGUAGCUUAGACUAGAGUGAGGAUAGUGCAGACAGAGGUCAGUGAUACACAGAGGGUUAGAAUGGAUAGGACUGGAUGAUGGAUUGGGUGUGGAGAAAGCAAGACUGGGGGCAGCCCGGGUGGCUCAGCGGUUUAGCGCUGCCUUCAGCCCAGGAUGUGAUCCUGGAGACGCGGGAUCGAGUCCCACGUCAGGCUCCCUGCAUGGAGCCUGCUUCUCCUUCUGCCUGUGUCUCUGCCUCUCUCUCUCUCUCUCUCUGUCUUUCAUGAAUAAAUAAAUAAACCAUCUUUAAAAAAAUUAAAAAAAAAAAAAGAGAGAAAGCAAGACUGUUUCCAGAGUAUGAAAUGGUUACAUUUAC